rnacentral:rRNA from 1 species
UACAGAGGGUGCGAGCGUUGUCCGGAAUCACUGGGCGUAAAGGGUGCGUAGGUGGUGGGGUAAGUCGGAUGUGAAAGCUCGGAGCUCAACUCCGAAAUGGCAUUGGAAACUACCCUGCUAGAGGAUUGGAGGGGGGACUGGAAUACUUGGUGUAGCAGUGAAAUGCGUAGAUAUCAAGUGGAACACCAGUGGCGAAGGCGAGUCCCUGGACAAUUCCUGACACUGAGGCACGAAAGCUAGGGGAGCAAACAGG